CACCGCGGUUAUACGAGAGGCUCGAGUUGAUAAUCUCGGCGUAAAGAGUGGUUAUGGAGAAGACUAAACUAAAGCUGAAGACCCCCCAGGCUGUUUAACGCAUGCGGGUGUUCGAACCACUUAUACGAAAGUAGCUUUAACGCAUUCCACCAGAAUCCACGACAGCUGGGAAA
rnacentral:rRNA from 1 species